GACGAACGCUGGCGGCGUGCUUAACACAUGCAAGUCGAACGGAAAGGCCCUGCUUUUGUGGGGUGCUCGAGUGGCGAACGGGUGAGUAACACGUGAGUAACCUGCUCUUGACUUUGGGAUAACUUCAGGAAACUGGGGCUAAUACCGGAUAGGAGCUCCUGCUGCAUGGUGGGGGGUGGAAAGUUUCGGCGGUUGGGGAUGGACUCGCGGCUUAUGAGCUUGUUGGUGGGGUAGUGGCUUACCAAGGCUUUGACGGGUAGCCGGCCUGAGAGGGUGACCGGCCACAUGGGGACUGAGAUACGGCCCAGACUCCUACGGGAGGCAGAAGUGGGGAAUAUUGCACAAUGGGCGGAAGCCUGAUGCAGCAACGCCGCGUGCGGGAUGACGGCCUUCGGGUUGUAAACCGCUUUCGCCUGUGACGAAGCGUGAGUGACGGUAAUGGGUAAAGAAGCACCGGCUAACUACGUG
rnacentral:rRNA from 1 species